rnacentral:rRNA from 1 species
GUUUGAUCCUGGCUCAGGAUGAACGCUAGCGGCAGGCUUAAUACAUGCAAGUCGAGGGGCAGCACGGUAGCAAUACUGGUGGCGACCGGCGCACGGGUGCGUAACACGUAUACAAUCUGCCUUUAACAGGGGGAUAGCCUUUCGAAAGAGAGAUUAAUACCCCAUAAUAGUAGAGAAGGCAUCUUCUUUAUUUGAAAGCUACGGCGGUUAAAGAUGAGUAUGCGGAUGAUUAGCUAGAUGGUGAGGUAACGGCUCACCAUGGCGACGAUCAAUAGGGGAUCUGAGAGGACUACCCCCCACACUGGUACUGAGACACGGACCAGACUCCUACGGGAGGCAGCAGUAAGGAAUAUUGGACAAUGCCCGCAAGGGUGAUCCAGCCAUGCCGCGUGCAGGAAGACGGCCCUAUGGGUUGUAAACUGCUUUUGAACUAGAGAAAACCCCCCUUCGUGAAGGGGGCUGAUAGUAUAGUUAGAAUAAGCAUCGGCUAACUUCGUGCCAGCAGCCGCGGUAAGACGAAGGAUGCAAGCGUUAUCCGGAUUCAUUGGGUUUAAAGGGAGCGUAGGUGGAUUUGUAAGUCAGUGGUGAAAGCCGGCAGCUUAACUGUCGAAUUGCCAUUGAUACUGCGGAUCUUGAGUAUGGUUGCUGUGGGCGGAAUAUGACAUGUAGAGGUGAAAUUCAUAGAGAUGUCAUAGAACACCGAUUGGCAAAGGCAGCUCACAAAGCCAUUACUGACACUGAGGCUUGAAAGUUGCGGGGAUCAAACAGGAUUAGAUACCUGGUUAGUCCGCACUGUAAACGAUGGAUACUAGCUGUUGGGCGCAAGUUCAGUGGCUAAGCGAAAGUGAUAAGUAUCCCACCUGGGGAGUACGUUCGCAAGAAUGAAACUCAAAGGAAUUGACGGGGGCCCGCACAAGCGGUGGAGCAUGUGGUUUAAUUCGAUGAUACGCGAGGAACCUUACCAAGGCUUAAAUGCAGACUGACCGAUUUGGAAACAGAUCUUUCGCAAGACAGUUUACAAGGUGCUGCAUGGUUGUCGUCAGCUCGUGCCGUGAGGUGUCAGGUUAAGUCCUAUAACGAGCGCAACCCCUGUUGUUAGUUGCCAGCGAGUCAUGUCGGGAACUCUAACAAGACUGCCAGUGCAAACUGUGAGGAAGGUGGGGAUGACGUCAAAUCAUCACGGCCCUUACGCCUUGGGCUACACACGUGCUACAAUGGCCGGUACAGAGAGCAGCCACUGGGUGACCAGGAGCGAAUCUACAAAGCCGGUCACAGUUCGGAUCGGAGUCUGCAACUCGACUCCGUGAAGCUGGAAUCGCUAGUAAUCGGAUAUCAGCCAUGAUCCGGUGAAUACGUUCCCGGGCCUUGUACACACCGCCCGUCAAGCCAUGGAAGCUGGGGGUGCCUGAAGUCGGUGACCGCAAGGAGCUGCCUAGGGUAAAACUGGUAACUAGGGCUAAGUCGUAACAAGGUAGCCGUA